rnacentral:rRNA from 1 species
CACGUAGGCACCAAGCGUUGUCCGGAAUUAUUGGGCGUAAAGAGCUCGUAGGCGGUUUGUCGCGUCGAAUGUGAAAACCCGGGGCUCAACCCCGGGCCUGCAUUCGAUACGGGCAGACUAGAGUUCGGUAGGGGAGUCUGGAAUUCCUGGUGUAGCGGUGAAAUGCGCAGAUAUCAGGAGGAACACCGGUGGCGAAGGCGGGUCUCUGGGCCGUAACUGACGCUGAGGAGCGAAAGCAUGGGGAGCGAACAGG